UUCAGAUUCAACACAUCCUCUCCUAUCCCCCUUCUCUCUAGGCACUACGUUGCGCCCACCUCCAAAUCCUGCGUUGCUGCCUCACCUCUGCAGCCUCGUUUCCGCUUGCCGCUUGGCCGACCGUACUCGCCGACGACCCGAAGCAACCAUUACGCGAUGCAACCUAGAUCUCAACGCCAUCCGUUUCGCUAGUUGGUGUGCCAUCCUGUAAAUUGACGGGUUUCCCUCAUCCUGUCGUCUUCGUGAUGCCAAAGGAAGUCGCGGUUAGGAGCAUAUACAUGAUCUGAUGUCUGAUGAGUUCGUUUCUGUUGGUCAGUCGCACUAAGGAUGGAUACAUGAUAUUCUUGACUUGCCCUGGCUUAUCUCACGAGUUAGCACCUGUCUCAGCUUCUCACGGCAUCUGAUAGGUCCUUAGGAUUAUAGAUCCUGAAGAUAAGUUCAGAUCCUAGAUUGGGGAUGUCCACAUGUGUACUACCUGAUGAGCUGGUGGUAGACAUCCUGUCUCGACUGCCGCUAAAGUCCUUGUGCCGCAUCAAAUGUGUCUGCAAGUCUUGGCUUGCCUUCUCAUCUCAUCCAUACUAUCGGCAAAAGCUCCCAAGAACUCCCGCUGGCCUCUUGUACCGGAAAUUUGAGCGUGGCAGAGUUGCCUCCCCUCUUGGCAGUGCCAUCCAUCUCGCCAGACUGCCCUAAGGUGACAAGGAAAUUGACACAACACUUAGCUUUGUGCCAUGUUAUAAGUACCCAAUACAGCUUCGGGGUUGCUGCAAUGGCCUACUUCUUUGUUACCAGAAAAUUAGAAGUGAAGAAAUUUCCAAUGCUAUUGUGUGCAAUCCAGCAACUCAAGAGUGGAUGGCACUUCCAGAUACUGAACCUGGCCCGGCCCGCUCCAAUAAUGCAUUUGAGUUGUGUUUCGAUCCAUUAUGGUCGGAACACUUCUAUGUCUUCAAAUUCCAGUCUAUCGAGGUCAUGAGCUGUAUCAACACUGAAGUUAAGGUAUUUUUCUCUAAGGAUUCCACAUGGUCUAGCUGUCUUUGGAAAACUAGAGAUCCAUUUGAAGGUGAUUCUCUCUUUGUAAAUGGGUGUUGUAUCUGAAGCACUUCAUCUUGAAUAAAAUCCUGGCGCUAGACGCACCUGACACA